rnacentral:rRNA from 1 species
AAUUGAAGAGUUUGAUCAUGGCUCAGAUUGAACGCUGGCGGCAGGCCUAACACAUGCAAGUCGAGCGGAAACGGCAGUAUUGAAGCUUCGGUGGAUUUACUGGACGUCGAGCGGCGGACGGGUGAGUAACGGCUGGGAACCUGCCCURACGAGGGGGAUAACCGUUGGAAACGACGGCUAAUACCGCAAUCCUUAGCUGGUUUGAGAGGAUGAUCAGCCACACUGGGACUGAGACACGGCCCAGACUCCUACGGGAGGCAGCAGUGGGGAAUAUUGCACAAUGGGGGAGACCCUGAUGCAGCCAUGCCGCGUGUGUGAAGAAGGCCUUCGGGUUGUAAAGCACUUUCAGCAGUGAGGAAGGUAGUGUACUUAAUACGUGCAUUGCUUGACGUUAGCUGCAGAAGAAGCACCGGCUAACUCCGUGCCAGCAGCCGCGGUAAUACGGAGGGUGCGAGCGUUAAUCGGAAUUACUGGGCGUAAAGCGCAUGCAGGCGGUUUGUUAAGUCAGAUGUGAAAGCCCGGGGCUCAACCUCGGAACCGCAUUUGAAACUGGCAGGCUAGAGUCUUGUAGAGGGGGGUAGAAUUUCAGGUGUAGCGGUGAAAUGCGUAGAGAUCUGAAGGAAUACCAGUGGCGAAGGCGGCCCCCUGGACAAAGACUGACGCUCAGAUGCGAAAGCGUGGGUAGCAAACAGGAUUAGAUACCCUGGUAGUCCACGCCGUAAACGAUGUCUACUUGGAGGCUGAGGUUUAAGACUUUGGCUUUCGGAGCUAACGCAUUAAGUAGACCGCCUGGGGAGUACGGCCGCAAGGUUAAAACUCAAAUGAAUUGACGGGGGCCCGCACAAGCGGUGGAGCAUGUGGUUUAAUUCGAUGCAACGCGAAGAACCUUACCUACUCUUGACAUCCAG